UGACUCUUGGUUGUGGGGCUCAUUCCUGCACCAACCACCAUGGCAUGAAGACCUUUUUUUAGUCAUUUCAUUUUUGUUCCUGAAUUUUCUGUUUCGUGGGGGGGGGGUUACCGGUAUAGUUACGCCCCAUGAAUCGUCUUGUUGUUGGUUGCAACUCGUCUUUGGAUUUUCUGGCUUUUCUUUAUGAUGCUUUGCCAACCUCUGACUAGUUCCAUGCUCGAAAUUUGAUCCGGGAUCGAUGUUGAGUCGUCACACAGAACAUCUUUUUAUUAUAAGGGGCAAGCCAUGAAGGCUUACAAAAGCCUUGAUGCCUACAAAAAUUUAAUAUUGGGGAAAGUCAACAAUAAUCUUGUGUGGAAUCAGCCAAUGAAGCGAGGUUGGACAACAACCGUUUCUGUGAUUUUUUUCAAAGAUACACUAUGCAGAGACUCAGUGAUCCUCCUGUGUGUGUAUGGGUGGCUAUCCAAGAGGAUGGAGUUGUUAUUACUGAGUGCAACAUAAUUGAAGAGCUACACCCAUCAGCAAGCCAUGUAUCUCUACCGAGCAGGCCGAAUUACCGCAUCGAAGUUCAAAUCUGUAGUGUGCACAGACCCUGCCAUGUCAUCCACAUACCUGAUUAGAUCAAUCUGCUAUCCAGCUGAAUACAACUUCACAACAGGUGCAACUUGGUUAAGUUUCAGCUUGUGUAAAUUAGUCAGCUUGAGUAAUCAUUCAUGAUGUAAGUUUGGUACUGUAGAUAGUACCGUGCAGGUGCAUUAUUUCUUUAAAGAUGAGGGAAGGACGGAUUGUCUCAGUGACUGAAUGCCAAAAAGCUAUACUGCCUCUCCUACUAUCACUGUACAUGUAAACUUCAAAAUGACCAACAGUAUCCAACCUGGGUAGGACCAAGGGAGGGCACAUUUGUCCUAGCACUGAUGUCUCCUUAGUUAAAACAUUUCACAGGUUCACAAAUGCUCAAGAAAUCCAUGCAUCAUAGACACAUUGCUGCCAACCAGAUGGCGCUCUGUUGAACAACCUGUCAUUUGUUUGUUCAGCAAUGAAAGGGUGCAUAUAAUCUGCUCAAGGCGAAUACAUGUACUCAACAGCUGAUGGAUCUCAUGGCUAUGAUAUGAUUAAUGUCAACAUCAAUUUGAAUUGCUUUCUCAGUUAGGGAUGUCAGCUUGAAAAAGAUGCAGUUGAAAGCUACUCAAAGAGUCAGUCAUCAAGCCAAGAUGGUCUCCACAUUAAAGUUGCUGGCUGGAUUGAAUAACAGCUGGACUGCUGUGUAAGAGCAUGCAAAAGUGUGCGUCCGCGCGCAACUAAAUAACAAUGAAUUUCUUUGUUUUGCUUUUGAAUCAUUCCGUUGUAUCCGAUUAACGGAUAA